UACAGGCUUAACACAUGCAAGUCGAGGGGCAGCAUGGUCUUAGCUUGCUAAGGCCGAUGGCGACCGGCGCACAGGUGAGUAACACGUAUCCAACCUGCCGUCUACUCUUGGACAGCCUUCUGAAAGGAAGAUUAAUACAAGAUGGCAUCAUGAGUCCGCAUGUUCACAUGAUUAAAGGUAUUCCGGUAGACGAUGGGGAUGCGUUCCAUUAGAUAGUAGGCGGGGUAACGGCCCACCUAGUCUUCGAUGGAUAGGGGUUCUGAGAGGAAGGUCCCCCACAUUGGAACUGAGACACGGUCCAAACUCCUACGGGAGGCAGCAGUGAGGAAUAUUGGUCAAUGGGCGAGAGCCUGAACCAGCCAAGUAGCGUGAAGGAUGACUGCCCUAUGGGUUGUAAACUUCUUUUAUAAAGGAAUAAAGUCGGGUAUGCAUACCCGUUUGCAUGUACUUUAUGAAUAAGGAUCGGCUAACUCCGUGCCAGCAGCCGCGGUAAUACGGAGGAUCCGAGCGUUAUCCGGAUUUAUUGGGUUUAAAGGGAGCGUAGAUGGAUGUUUAAGUCAGUUGUGAAAGUUUGCGGCUCAACCGUAAAAUUGCAGUUGAUACUGGAUAUCUUGAGUGCAGUUGAGGCAGGCGGAAUUCGUGGUGUAGCGGUGAAAUGCUUAGAUAUCACGAAGAACUCCGAUUGCGAAGGCAGCCUGCUAAGCUGCAACUGACAUUGAGGCUCGAAAGUGUGGGUAUCAAACAGGAUUAGAUACCCUGGUAGUCCACACGGUAAACGAUGAAUACUCGCUGUUUGCGAUAUACGGCAAGCGGCCAAGCGAAAGCGUUAAGUAUUCCACCUGGGGAGUACGCCGGCAACGGUGAAACUCAAAGGAAUUGACGGGGGCCCGCACAAGCGGAGGAACAUGUGGUUUAAUUCGAUGAUACGCGAGGAACCUUACCCGGGCUUAAAUUGCAGAUGAAUUACGGUGAAAGCCGUAAGCCGCAAGGCAUCUGUGAAGGUGCUGCAUGGUUGUCGUCAGCUCGUGCCGUGAGGUGUCGGCUUAAGUGCCAUAACGAGCGCAACCCUUGUUGUCAGUUACUAACAGGUUCCGCUGAGGACUCUGACAAGACUGCCAUCGUAAGAUGUGAGGAAGGUGGGGAUGACGUCAAAUCAGCACGGCCCUUACGUCCGGGGCUACACACGUGUUACAAUGGGGGGUACAGAGGGCCGCUACCACGCGAGUGGAUGCCAAUCCCCAAAACCUCUCUCAGUUCGGACUGGAGUCUGCAACCCGACUCCACGAAGCUGGAUUCGCUAGUAAUCGCGCAUCAGCCACGGCGCGGUGAAUACGUUCCCGGGCCUUGUACACACCGCCCGUCAAGCCAUGGGAGCCGGGGGUACCUGAAGUGCGUAACCGCGAGGAGCGCCCUAGGGUAAAACUGGUGACUGGGGCUAAGUA
rnacentral:rRNA from 1 species